rnacentral:lncRNA from 1 species
CCACCCCCUUGUGUAUUUCUAUAGGGCCUGUUUUGUGUGUCUAAAGCCACAGAUGAUAACAUUUACUAUAUUUUGAGACUGACUGGCCUUACUAGACUUACUGGACCUGUGCUAGGCCUCAGAGAGUUUGAUCUUUCUCUAACCCAUUCAAUACAAGGGUUUUGUGAUACAUAUAUUAAUAAGCUAAUUAAUAGGAACUGAAUGAGGAACCACUUGAUUCUGUUUGAUCGUUAUGUUCAUCAGAAUUUAGCAAACAAGCUCUGGUCCUGAGAACUCUCUCUGGAGUCAUUAGAUGGCUCAAAGUGUCUGGCUGAGUCCUAGAGACCCGUUGAAUUUUCCCAUGACAGCAAUGACUUGGAGGAACAUUUAGAGGAGCCUGUUGUGGAACCAGAACCAGAGCCGGAGCCAGAGCCGGAACCGGAACCUGUGUCCGACAUUCAAGAGGACAAGCCUGAGCCUGCAUUGGAAGAAGCCGCUCCUGAGGAUGUGCAGAAGAGCGCCUCCCCGGCCCCGGCAGACGUGGCCCCAGCACAGGAGGACUUGAGGACAUUUUCUUGGGCGUCUGUGACUAGUAAGAACCUUCCUCCCAGUGGGGCUGUUCCAGUGACAGGGACACCACCUCAUGUGGUCAAAGUGCCAGCAUCACAGCCCCGUCCAGAAUCUAAGCCUGACUCUCAGAUCCCACCACAAAGGCCUCAGAGAGAUCAGAGAGCUCGAGAGCAGCGGAUCAAUAUCCCUCCUCAGAGAGGACCCCGGCCAAUUCGUGAGGCUGGUGAACCAGGAGAUGUGGAACCCCGAAGGAUGGUGAGGCACCCUGACAGUCACCAGCUCUUCAUUGGGAACCUGCCACAUGAGGUUGACAAGUCGGAACUGAAGGAUUUUUUCCAAAGUUAUGGGAAUGUUGUGGAGCUGCGCAUCAACAGUGGUGGGAAGUUACCCAACUUCGGUUUCGUUGUGUUUGAUGACUCGGAACCAGUUCAGA